GGAGAGCGGGUGGGAGGGAAGCGGGUGGGAAGAGAGCGGGGUGGGAGCAGAGCGGAUGGGAGAUGGGAGGCAGUGAGGAUGGCGGGCUCUUGUGGGUCGGGAGGGAGUGGGAGGUCUGAGGAUGGUGGCCAGUCUCGCUUACUUGGUUGAUGGGAGGAGAGCGGGUGGGAUAUGGUAGAUUUGGAGCGGGAGGGAGUGGGAGGUCUGAGGAUGGUGGGCUCUUGUUGGUCGGGAGGGAGAGGGAGGUCUGAGGAUGGUGGGCUCUUGUGGGUCGGGAGGGUAGGGUAGAACUAUUCCUGUAUGGAAUACAACUGUAAACCGUAUCGGUUAAACCAAUGCGUGUGCAUUACAUUGUGUUUCUCUUGCUAAGUAGAUGGUGAUUAUUCACAUAAUUUAUCAAUGGAAGUGUUUCAGUAUCCUCAAAGAGGAAUUUUGUAGAUGGCCUGCGUGUAUUGGUAUGAUUGUGCCCACAUGAUGGCAACUGAUGGUACAUUCACUUGUCACAAUAAAACAGCUUAAGAGAUGACGCUUUGUGUUUAUUGUGUCUCUUCUUGAGUUUCCUAUUCAUAAACACGUGGGAUAUUAUUUAGAAAUCACAUCAAAGUAUGACGGGAGUCAGGCGUAACGAAUUCUGUAUUAGUUAUCCAUUUCAAGGACCUGUCUGUGCAGCGAUUGCUGAGUUACAGAAGUUGUCAUGGAUAACACAUCACAGUGAAGGAGUCACUUAUGAUCUGAUGCCACCAACACUAUUUCAGACAUAUCCUGACAUGUCAGUCAAAUAGUCUUCCAUCCUAUUAUUAGGACCGUUGGUCAUUUUCGAGUGGUCAGCUUAUGUUGUGCAUUGUUGCAUCAGGAUCAGUGUCUCGUCACUAGCCUCGUGCAUCAUAUUUUAUCCAGAAUAUGAAUGUGUUUGCUCUCUAGCAUACGAAGUGAGUGCGUGAGUGAGUGAGUGAGUGAGUAUGGUUUUAUGCCGCUUUCAUCAACAUUCGAGCAAUAUGACGACGGGCGACACCAGAAAUGGGCUUCACACAUUGUAAACAUGUCGGGAAUCUUCGGUGUGACGAGUGAACGCUUUAACCACUAGGCAACCCGACCGCCCCUCUCUAACACAUAAACAGGACAAGACAGUUACACCUAUGCAGCCUGGCGUGACUGUGUUGUCAUUGUGCUGGUAAACCAGGACAUGGAUCCCUGUUCAGAUAUGCACACAGCUCAUUGGUCGACGAGCUUGUUGUUAUGGGUAACGGAGCAGUAUAAAAGAGCUGUGACAGGCUAUUGCGUUGUUUUCGCUAGUCUGCAGCUGAUGUUUCAACCUGCACUGGAGGCAGCCAGGACAGCUGCGGGCCGUCAUACAACAUUGACGCCAAGGGGUUGUGAUGUCCUGACCAUCCAGAAUGGUGCCACUCAACGGACACAUCCAAGGGGUUGCGAUGUCCUGACCAUCCAGAAUGGUGCCACUCAACGGACACAUCCAAGGGGUUGCGAUGUCCUGACCAUCCAGAAUGGUGCCACUCAACGGACACAUCCAAGGGGUUGCGAUGUCCAGAACGGCACCAGACAUUGGACACCUCCCAGAAGAGGGAGGUCCCAUCACAGGAAGUACAAGCUUCUUCAUCCCAUUGGCAUCAAGGCUGCUUUUGUCUGAGCUGUUCACCGGGGAUAGUAUGCGUAACAUUCUUCGAUGAAUUAAUUAGUUCGUAAUUAUUUUCUCAGGCAGUUUCGAACAGAUGCCUAUUCCAGUUAGGAAUAGAACGUAAGCCAUAUUGGCUUGUAUUAGCAACAAAGUGAAUAUUCAAUAUACAAGGUUUAGAUUUUUCGCCAAUCUAGACUGCUAUUGAUCGAUAUUCAUAAUAUACAUGUACCCUUGUGAGCCAUACUGGCAUCCAAAAAGCUAUGUUAUUAUGUAACAUAUAACUGUAAGCCGUAUCGGCUAACCUUCGCAUAUCAUGUUUACAAAAUAUACAGAUAUAUAUUGUUAGAAAUCUUGGUGAAUAUAUAUGUUGGCAAGCAUUGGAAAGCAUUAUUCAACUUACCAUUGUAAACAGUAUCGGGUAACAUUCUGAUACAACAUAUUACUGUGAGCCCUAUCGGCUACCCUAAAUCUGUAUGUAUGUUAUUAUACAACUCACUAUGCAGCUGGUAUCACACAUCCAAUAAUAAUUCUUAUUGUCCAACCUUCUAUUGUAGGCUUUAACUGAAUAUGGUAUUGUUAUUUACAUGUAUACCAACAACAUUAGCUAAAAUUGUACAUUCAUUAUCAUAUGCCUUAUUGUCAAAUAGUAGUUUAUAUUUAUCAUACUACUUGUCUUAUUCAUGAUAUAAUAGUUAGUUGCAAGCCUCAGUAAGCAGCAUUACGUUGAUAAGAAUAUGUAUGUUUUCAUAACUUAUUAUUCAAGCAGCCCCGUAAGGGGUGAGAUUUAUUAGAUAAGUUCAUAUGAGCGGCAGUUGGUCUCAUUACCUUUUUACACUUGGACUAAAGAUAUAAUGAAGGACUAACGUAUGGCUGAACUGAUAACCAAAUGCCAAGUUUUCCAACCUGGAAAGGAAUCCACCACGUCUUUACCUACUCUCUUCUGUACAUCACCUUGGGGCAAGGACUUUCUAAAAUAUUAGCUAAAUGCUCCCUCAGAUCUAAGAAAUCAGCCUUCUUUGCACAUUUUAGCUAUUACAUUUGGCUUUGAUUAAAGUUCAUAAUAUACACAUUGACAGAUCACAGUGUAAAUCAGUCACACUUUCACAAUGUAUUUUCAUUAUUACCUUAUUUGGCCAUAUUGCAUUUAUAAUAUUUUCCAAGCAUUUCCAUUUAAGAUAUCGCAGUGUACUGCUCUCAUACGAACUUGUAUAUAGUCAGUGUGGCUGUAACGUCAGACCUCCCUGGGGAUACAGUUGAAACAGUUUGGUGGAUAUUUAGCGUGGUGUUGAAAUUGUUUUUCUCCAUAACACGAUAAAACGUAGUGUUGUAUACUACGUCCGCUGUCAUACUGUUUGUACAUUCUUCCCCAUUGUAUCACUACAUAUCUUACUGGGAUGUUGGGGUAUCUAUCAAGCGGCGUUCCUUGCUCCAUUGGGCAUUGGAGUUCACACAAAAAGUGAAUUAACAACACUUUCUUUGUAAAUUUUGUCUAAUGUUGAAUAUGCUGAUGUUCUUUGAAACAUUUUACAAUAGAAAGAUGGUCAUUUAUUUAUGUAGGUGUCACAUAUUAGUUUUAACAGACAAUAUUCACCUCAGAAAUGUAUUUGCCAUUUCCAUCAAAUUAUGUCUUUCUAAAUUGAGCCAAGGCCAAUAUGACAAAAUACAUUGAUCCCACUUGUCCAAAUACCAUCAAUAAGAAACUUGAACACAAGACACUCAUGACACUCAUGACAUCGUGCAUGUUCCACGUUCACAGCAGGCGAUAGUAACUGUCGUCAAGGUCCUCACUUUUAUGAUAUGUCACGUACGGGUCUUUCAUGGCAAUGUGACAACUGUCUUCCAUUCAAUGUUUAUUGUUAUGCUGACUAUUUCAUGUUUUCUGUUAUGUCAGACUUUGAUACAACCAUAUCUCAGGGAAAGGUGUUCCUAUACAAACACAUAUGUCCAGUAUUAAUGUAUUCUUGCAUUUCAUAAGCAGGCGUUAUUGUUGUUUUAUUACAAUUAUUAAAUAUAUCUUCAAGUUUUUUAUGAUGUGUUUGGUACUGACAGCUGUUGAAUAAAGUGCAUAACUGAAUACUUUUGAGUCACUUAUUAAAGUUAAUACUUAAAUGAAAGCGACAGGACUUUUAGGGUGGUGUUGAAAUUGUUUUUCCUCAUAACACGAUAAAAACGUGAUGUUGUAUUCUACGUCCGCUGUCAUACUGUUUGUACAUUCUUCCCCAUUGUAUCACUACAUAUCUUACUGGAAUGUUGGGAUAUCUAUGAAGUAACAUUACAACGCAUGUUUCUAAAGUGGCGUUACUUGUUCCAUUGGACAUUUGAGUUCACACUAAACGCGGGUUCGCAACCAUAAAUUGAUCCUUACUUUGUAGUUUUUUGUUUAAUGUGGAAUUCGCCAGUGUUCUUGGCAACAUUUUACAUCAUCAGCAACGUGGCCAUUUAUAAAUAUAGGUGUCACAUUUUAAAUUUAACGGACAAUAUUCAUCUCAGAUAUGUACAUGCCAUUUCCAUCAAAUUAUGUCUUUCUAAAUUGAGCCAAGGUCAAAAUGACAACAUACAUUAAUCCCACUUGUCCAAAUACCAUCAAUAAGAAACUUGAACACAAGACACUCAUGACACUCAUGACAUCGUGCAUGUUCCACGUUCACAGCAGGCGAUAGUAACUGUCGUCAAGGUCCUCACUUUUAUGAUAUGUCACGUACGGGUCUUUCAUGGCAAUGUGACAACUGUCUUCCAUUCAAUGUUUAUUGUUAUGCUGACUAUUUCAUAUUUUCUGUUAUGUCAGACUUUGAUACAACCAUAUCUCAGGGAAAGGUGUUCCUAUACAAACGCAUAUGUCCAGUAUUAAUGUAUUCUUGCAUUUCAUAAGCAGGCGUUAUUGUUGUUUUAUUACAUUGUUAAAUAUAUCUUCAAGUUUUUUAUGAUGUGUUUGGUACUGACAGCUGUUGAAUAAAGUUUAUAACUGAA